UAAGACGAACCGUGCGAACGUUAUUCGGAAUCAUUGGGCUUAAAGCGCGUGUAGGCGGAUUCGUGCGUCUGUCGCUGAAAUCCCCCGGCUCAACCGGGGAACGGGCGCGGAUACGACGAGUCUGGAGGGGCAUAGGGGGACCUGGAACUUCCGGUGGAGCGGUGAAAUGCGUUGAGAUCGGAAGGAACGCCCGUGGCGAAAGCGAGGUCCUGGAUGCCUACUGACGCUGAGACGCGAAAGCCAGGGGAGCGAACGGGAUUAGAUACCCCGGUAGUCCUGGCCGUAAACGAUGGGUACUGGAUAGGGGGCUCGCCGAUGGGCUCCCUGUCGUAGGGAAACCGUGAAGUACCCCGCCUGGGGAGUAUGGUCGCAAGGCUG
rnacentral:rRNA from 1 species